CCUUGAUUCGCAAUGGCUGCGCCCGGUGGCGUGGUUGAGGCGGCCGGCCCCAUAACCAUUGGAUGCGCAGAUUUUCUUGCCUUUCAGGAGGUGUUAAAGAAGUCUCGCACCAUAGAUGAUAAAAUCAUUUAUGCACUUAACAAAUCAUUGCCUACACAGUCUUUUGAGGGUCAAGUGGAUGCAUCCAAGACUUGCAAAGAUCUGUACUCAAAGCUAAGGGAAAGCUACCGUGCCCGUGGGGCAGCAAUCAGGCGCUGUGUGGAGGAGACAGCUGGCCAUGUGGAGGCAUUACGGCAGCGGCGUGAGGUCGACCAGGACAGCCAGGACAACUAUGACUUACUCAGGGAGCUCCGGAGGGAGCAGUCCAAGCUGCGGUUAUACCGGUCGGAGCUGAGCGUAGAGGAAGUGGUUCGCGACCGGAGCCGAGCGAUCGUCUCUGAGCGAUGUCGGCUCUUCUACGCGCCCGACCCAUCUACCGACCUGCUCAACAACUAGUGACUGCCGGCCUGGGGCGGGCCCGGCAACAGCGCGCGCGCCGGCAGCCGUGCGCCGGACCAAGCGGCGGGAGGCCAGAGUGAAUGGGGGCGUGUCUGCCGGUAUGAGCUUGCGUUGUUUGUAAUACACUGCGUGACUUGGUGCCGAUGGUGUGUGCGAAUACGGGAGUGUGGCCGCCGCCCGGCCGGCACGCAGGCUGCUGCCAGGUGCUGAACAGGCGGUCGUUGUCCCCGUAGUCCGGUCGUGGCUGGCUGUGAGCCGGCCAAGCCGACUGCCCACGGUACAGCGCAGUUGUCGCGCUGUCGUGCUCAGCAUGGCGGGACGCGCUGCCUCGCGUUGGAGGCAGCGUUUCACGCGGGUAGAGCAAUAUUGUGAACUGCUUGUUCCGCCGGACCAUCUAUGGGCGUACCUUUCAAGCAUGUGUUCGUAUAUGUGCAACUUGUUUGGAAUAUUAUCAUGCACGAGUCGCGGGGUCGGCAAUGAACUUUGCAUGAUUUA
rnacentral:lncRNA from 1 species